UGGUGUUGCAAUUAUGUAGGCAAAGCUUUUGCCCAGCUGUUUCAUGGUAGCUAGCGCUAGCUCGGAUUGUGCAGGUCUAGGUGAUUUAGCAGGCUUGGGUAAUCAAACAGUUGCCCCGGUUGCCUGUAGACGGCCAGUAUUAGAGUUGAACUAUGUGUAUCGAAUAGCCGUGGGUCGCGUUCCUCUGUCUUUGUGCAAACAACAGAUGUGUGGGCAUGAGCACCAUGUAAAUAAGGAGCGGAGUGCAUGCAUUAGGGAUGGUGAAGUGGAAAUGCCCCUUGCGUUACACGAGUCUCAUACGCACAUUGUAAGAACCAGUCAGUCAGACCUCCAGUAGGUCGUAGCCAUAAUUAUCAGCCUUUAUGUUGGCUACAGCACUGUAGUGUAUUUGAAGUGCCACUACCAGGAAAGGCAACCAACAACAAUGAUGAUGCGAAGUUUCCUUAUCAUAUCAAAAACAUGGCAAGAGGAGGGUUCAAAAAGUCAUGCCCUGCAUGUCAGGCAAACAUCUUUAAUGGCUGUAAAGUGUGCCCCAUGUGCAAGGCACCACAGCCACAAAAACUGAGGCUUAAAAAAAAACUUGACAAGUUUAAAAAAGAAAAAGAUACAUGGGUGGCCAACACAAAGAAAAACCAGAUCACCUCGCACCUAAUGGAUGAUGCUGUCAUUCUGAUCGAGAAGCUGAAUGCGGUGGGCUGGAAGCCCAUCCUCCUUCUGGAAUAUCCGAAGAAGGAGGCAAGGAUGCUCCUCCCAGAAGGGCUCGUUCCAAGUGUGGGGGAAAGGAAAUGUCUCGAUGACAUUGAAGAAAUGUACACCUUCAUGAUUGAAGGUGAUUCCACAUUUACCAUACAUUAUAACGUCUCUAUACAACCCUAAUUCUGAAAAAUGUGGCAUCAAAUAACAAAAUGUACUUACAUUUUUAAUUUUUAGUCCGUUACCCAAGACCCACCACAACAACAAGCUUUUUCAGAAACUCUCCUUUCAGCCAGCCCUACCACCACCACCACCACCACCACCAUUGAGGGCCCAGAGACUGGGGUUAAACCUGAGACGGUGGAGACUGCCCUGUCCGCCAGCCCUACCACCAGCAACUUGGGGACAGAGACUGGCAACAAACGGAAGAGACGCCCAAGUACAAAAGUGGACACUCUCCCGACAACAAGCCCUGCCACCACCAACAGGGGGACAGAGACUGGCAACAAACGAAAAAGACACCCAAGCACAAAAGUGAAGACGGUUCUGUCCACAAGCCCCAACACCACCACCAACGGGGGGCGAGAGACUGAGACAGUGGAGACUGUCCUGUCAGCCAGCCCUGCCAUCACCACCAACGACUGGCAAAAUACAAAACAGACGCCCAAGGACACACAACCAAUACCACCCCUCCCCCCACCUAGACUGCACAGUUGUACUUGAAAAGGACUUGACAAUGUUUUCUUAAAAAUUUGUUUUUUAUACUGUAUUUUAUUCUGUAUUUAUACUAUUCCUUGUGUGACUGUUUGUGUGAGCAUUGUUUUAGAGGCUGCAUAAACAGAUUUCAUUGUACGGUUUUAUUGCACAAUGACAAUAAAGAAUAAACAUACCGCUAUUUGCUUAUGUCAAA